rnacentral:rRNA from 1 species
UACGGAGGGGGCUAGCGUUGUUCGGAAUUACUGGGCGUAAAGCGCACGUAGGCGGAUUCUUAAGUCAGGGGUGAAAUCCUGGAGCUCAACUCCAGAACUGCCUUUGAUACUGAAGAUCUUGAGUUCGGGAGAGGUGAGUGGAACUGCGAGUGUAGAGGUGAAAUUCGUAGAUAUUCGCAAGAACACCAGUGGCGAAGGCGGACUCACUGGCCCGAGUACUGACGCUGAGGCACGAAAGCGUGGGGAG